rnacentral:rRNA from 1 species
UACAGAGGGUGCGAGCGUUAAUCGGAAUUACUGGGCGUAAAGCGCACGUAGGUGGCGACGAAAGUCGGGUGUGAAAGCAGCGGGCUCAACCUGGGAAUUGCAUUCGAUACUGCAUUGCUGGAGUACGGAAGAGGAGGGCGGAAUUCCCGGUGUAGCGGUGAAAUGCGUAGAUAUCGGGAGGAACAUCAGUGGCGAAGUCGGCCCUCUGGUCCAGUACUGACACUCAAGUGCGAAAGCGUGGGGAGCAAACAGG